UCCCUGAUUUCCUGUAAUGGAAAAAGAUUGCUCUGUGCCAAUGGAGCUUAAAGUAUCUUCCCGAGUUUGCUGAGACCUGUCGUGUUUGUUUACAGAAGGGACGUAAGGAGCAUCCAGGCAACACAGCAGAGAGAAACCUCUUGGGGUUCAGCUCGACCAAGAUGGGAGGAUGUGGCAGCAGCCGGCUCACUCUGAGGGAAAUGCACCUUCCCAGGCAUGAAUGGAGACCAAACGGGACGUGUUGGUGCAUCUGUCAGGAUUCCCACUCUGGAAAAGAAGAUCAGAGCAAAUGGGGACUGAGGAGAACAAAAGCUGACCCAAACCUUUGACCUAAACUUAACAUAAACCCAAAUGAAACCUUAGAGAAAUGUCUUGGACCAGCUGUGACUGAAUGGCACAAGGGCUGUUUCAUGUUCCUGAUACUGCCCAAAAUGUUCAGGGCAUUUUCCAGGUGGAAGGAAGUUAGAGCUAAAGAGACACAGAAGAGAGAGGGAGGGUAUUCAAGGCAGUAGGAGUGCUGAAAAGAUCCUUGCUUCUCCUGCUCUGUGGCAGAAGAUACUGCAUUAAGACUUGUAGAAGGCUUUGACAUGAGUAAUUAUAUGUCUGACUUCUCAAAUUUUAUGCCGGCAAAAAACACCCUCUGAACUCGUGUGUUGGGACCCAGCUUGUAAGCGUCUUGCUUUAUCCCACUCCAGCAUCAUCACCACCUCUUGUUUGAGAUGUGGAUUUUCAUCCUGUCCUUGCUGGUUAAGACCAGUGAAUCAUUUCAGGUAGAAUUUAAGGUAAAAUAUUUCUCAGUGUAUGUCUUUUCGUGCCACCUGUCUUCAGGUAAGUGGCUUCCUAUUGCUGUUGAACAUUCUAGGAUAGCAAGUUUCUGUAGGUGACCUUCUCCAGGACUUCUCGCCCUUACCAACCUCUUUUCCAUCUACACCCAAGGCGCUGACCCACGACUGAAGCACUGAGGGGCCAAACCUCCCAAGAUCGUCAUCUUCCCAACCACUCUGUGUGGUGACAUCUCGGCAUCACACAUGGAGCAGCAGUUUACAAGAGCCGCUAUGACUGACCAGAGAUCUCCCCCAUCCUGCUGUCACAUCGCUGCCUACGACCCAGCGACUGACGGCUGGCUCAGUGCCGCGCUGCUGAUUCGGCGGGUGCCCUCCCAAAACCGUCCGUACGGCGACGACGGUGAGCGCGCAACGCCCACGACAAGUAUUCAGCCAAAGGGAGCGCGAACCGAUGCGCUCGCUGUUUAAUAUGCAACGAAAAUGAGCCGCAGCUCAACUCGUUGCACGCAUCCAUUACGUGAGAGAAGCGUUAAUAUUUCUGUAAAUCCACCAGGGAAUUUAUUCAUCUCAGCCUCCAGCAACGGUGAAUUACCCUGGUGACUGGUGCAAGUCGGAAGCAUGUACAGCCAUAAUGAGAAAGUACCGUGGUUUCCUUUAAAGUAAUAUAGUGGUUAUUGCUGAUAGUAACUGCCUUUGUGAAGUAUUAACGUGUGGUUAUAGUGCAGUCAUGAAGCAAAAUUAUAGGGGCCUGCAGAAUGUUACUUAGCAACACUUGCUAAUGUUGGGGUGGUAAUGAAGAAAUGAAGUAAAAGAAAUACAGAGUAUAUUGGAGUCAUAAAAUAAACUGUGGUGUGACUUGAGAAAGUUGUUCUGAAGAUGAAGAUGUCUAUUUCUUUUUGCCAUGUGAAUAUGGUAGGAGAACUUAAGAGCUGGUUUGAAGAAACAUGUUUGAAAUAUCUAAGUAACAGAAACAAGAAUUAUGGGUUUGGUGGUUUGUUUGGGUUUUUUUGUUUGUUUUUUUUUAUAGUUGCUGGUGCCUGGGAAAAGCAUCAGAAUUGCUGGCCUUUUGAAGAUCCUCUCCCUGUCAUUUCAAACCCAUCCUGAGACACUAGCUGGCCAAUUAAAAUAACCUCUACUUUGGAAACUAGCAUUUGUCAGAGUUAAGAAUGAAGGCUUCUUUCUACUACAUCUAUUUUCCCCAUUCAUUCAUUUACAUAACUCCCUCCACUGUUAAUCAAGUGCCUGUAGGCAUAUCUCAAGAAAAGGGUAAGGCCAUAAAAAUAAAGGCAGACAUUUCUAGUACUAGAUGAACCUUCUACAUGUUGCAGAUCUGUCUCAGACACUUAUCUUUGUUUAUCUCCACCUGUUUAAAUUGGAAAACUCACAAAAAUCCAUCUCCCGUGAGAUUUCCAAGGUUUCUUGAUUUCAUUUGGGUCAGAACUUCCACAAGAGAUGCAUUUCUCAGAGCACUUCUGAGCUGCUGCCAGGAACAGGGAGUGCUGGACUGU